rnacentral:rRNA from 1 species
CUACGGGAGGCACCAGUGGGGAAUAUUGGACAAUGGGGGAAACCCUGAUCCAGCAAUGCCGCGUGUGUGAAGAAGGCCUGCGGGUUGUAAAGCACUUUCGGUUGGGAGGACUGCUUCUAGCACUAAUAUUGUUGGAAGUUGACGUUACCUUCAGAAGAAGCACCGGCUAACUCCGUGCCAGCAGCCGCGGUAAUACGGAGGGUGCAAGCGUUAAUCGGAAUUACUGGGCGUAAAGCGCGCGUAGGCGGCUAGAUCAGUCGGGUGUGAAAGCCCCGGGCUUAACCUGGGAACUGCAUCCGAUACUGUCUAGCUUGAGUACAGGAGAGGAGAGUGGAAUUCCACAUGUAGCGUUGAAAUGCGUAGAUCUGUGGAGGAACACCACUGGCGAAGGCAGCUCUCUGGCGUCAUAUUGAUGCUGAGGUGCGAAAGCGUGGGGAGCAAACCGGAUUAUAUACCCGUGUAGUC